rnacentral:ncRNA from 1 species
AAGAAAUUGCCGCCGGGUAAAGCGUUGGAUUUUGUAUCGAUAGGCCAUAGGAGAUACAAUAUUCGGCGCUUUUUUAUG